UAGGGAAUCUUCGGCAAUGGACGAAAGUCUGACCGAGCAACGCCGCGUGAGUGAAGAAGGUUUUCGGAUCGUAAAACUCUGUUGUUAGAGAAGAACAAGGACGUUAGUAACUGAACGUCCCCUGACGGUAUCUAACCAGAAAGCCACGGCUAACUACGUGCCAGCAGCCGCGGUAAUACGUAGGUGGCAAGCGUUGUCCGGAUUUAUUGGGCGUAAAGCGAGCGCAGGCGGUUUCUUAAGUCUGAUGUGAAAGCCCCCGGCUCAACCGGGGAGGGUCAUUGGAAACUGGCAGACUUGAGUGCAGAAGAGGAGAGUGGAAUUCCAUGUGUAGCGGUGAAAUGCGUAGAUAUAUGGAGGAACACCAGUGGCGAAGGCGGCUCUCUGGUCUGUAACUGACGCUGAGGCUCGAAAGCGUGGGGAGCAAACAGG
rnacentral:rRNA from 1 species